AUGCUUAAGUUCAGCGGGUAUCCCUACCUGAUCCGAGGUCAACCUGAAAAAAUAGAUUGAGGGGGGUCGGCUGGCGCCGGCCGGGCCUACAAGAGCGGGUGACGAAGCCCCAUACGCUCGAGGACCGGACGCGGUGCCGCCGCUGCCUUUCGGGCCCGCCCCCCCAGCGCGGGGGGGGGCGGGGGCCCAACACACAAGCCGUGCUUGAGGGCAGCAAUGACGCUCGGACAGGCAUGCCCUCCGGAAUACCAGAGGGCGCAAUGUGCGUUCAAAGACUCGAUGAUUCACUGAAUUCUGCAAUUCACAUUAGUUAUCGCAUUUCGCUGCGUUCUUCAUCGAUGCCGGAACCAAGAGAUCCGUUGUUGAAAGUUUUAACUAAUUUAGCUAGUUUCUCAGACUGCAACUUCAGACAGCGUUCACAGGUGUCUUCGGCGGGCGCGGGCCCGGGGGCGGAAGCCCCCCGGCGGCCGUGAGGCGGGCCCGCCGAAGCAACAGGGUUCGGAAAACACGGGUGGGAGGUUGGACCCAGAGGGCCCUCACUCGGUAAUGAUCCUUCCGCAGGUUCACCUACGGAAACCUUG
rnacentral:misc_RNA from 1 species